rnacentral:rRNA from 1 species
UACGGAGGGUGCAAGCGUUAUCCGGAUUCACUGGGUUUAAAGGGUGCGUAGGUGGGCAGGUAAGUCAGUGGUGAAAUCUCCGGGCUUAGCCCGGAAACUGCCAUUGAUACUAUCAGUCUUGAAUACCGUGGAGGUAAGCGGAAUAUGUCAUGUAGCGGUGAAAUGCUUAGAUAUGACAUAGAACACCAAUUGCGAAGGCAGCUUACUACCCGAAUAUUGACACUGAGGCACGAAAGCGUGGGGAUCAAACAGG